AACAAGGCCCAAAUUUGACCUCUCAGAAUAAAGCAUAAUUGAUGCAUCUUAAUCCAGCUUCCAAAAAAUUGUUGGUUGUCUUUGCUUGAAAAGAUUGGCUCCACGCUUGCAUCUUGGAAAGAAAAGUUUCUCUCUUCUGGUGGUAGGCUAACCUUGACAAAUACAGUUUUCACAACUUUGUUGUCCUGUUUUAUAUCAGUCUUUAAGCUACCACACUGAGUCACCAAUAGAAUUGAUGAGAUAAGAAAAGCCUUUUUAUAGAAGUGGAAAACGAG
rnacentral:lncRNA from 1 species